rnacentral:rRNA from 1 species
AUUGAACGCUGGCGGCGUGCCUUACACAUGCAAGUCGAACGGCAGCACGGGUGCUUGCACCUGGUGGCGAGUGGCGAACGGGUGAGUAAUACAUCGGAACGUACCUUAUCGUGGGGGAUAACGCAGCGAAAGCUGUGCUAAUACCGCAUACGCCCUGAGGGGGAAAGCGGGGGAUCGCAAGACCUCGCGCGAUUAGAGCGGCCGAUGCCUGAUUAGCUUGUUGGUGGGGUAAAAGCCCACCAAGGCGACGAUCAGUAGCUGGUCUGAGAGGACGAGCAGCCACACUGGGACUGAGACACGGCCCAGACUCCUACGGGAGGCAGCAGUGGGGAAUUUUGGACAAUGGGGGCAACCCUGAUCCAGCAAUGCCGCGUGAGUGAAGAAGGCCUUCGGGUUGUAAAGCUCUUUUGUCAGGGAAGAAACACCGGCUCUAACACAGUCCGGGAAUGACGGUACCUGAAGAAUAAGCACCGGCUAACUACGUGCCAGCCGCCGCCGUAA